GUGCUCGCUGGGCAGCACGGAUACUCACACAGGAACCGUACAGAGAAGAGCAGCGUGGCCCUGCGCGUGACCACACGCACAUUCGUGAAGAGUUCCACAUGUUU
rnacentral:snRNA from 1 species